UAGUUGUCAAGCAGGCAGAUUCAUUUUCUGCCACCGAAUACAUUAGCAUGGGAUAAUGGAAUAGGACCCUGUCCUCCUUUUUUCAGUUGGUUAAUUCAUGAGAGAGGAACAGGGUAAUGAUUAAUAGGGAUAGUUGGGGGCAUUAAUAUUUAAUUGUCAGAGGUGAAAUUCUUGGAUUUAUGAAAGAUUAACUUCUGCGAAAGCAUCUGCCAAGGAUGUUUUCAUUAAUCAAGAACGAAAGUUAGGGGAUCGAAGACGAUCAGAUACCGUCGUAGUCUUAACCAUAAACGAUGCCGACCAGCGAUUAGGAGACGUUGAAUACAAAACACCUCUAUAUAUAAUUCAGUAUAUGGCUAGCAAUGGCUGUAUAUUGUUUGUGUAUAGUUACGGUGAAUGACUCCCCUAGCAGCUUGUGAGAA
rnacentral:rRNA from 2 species